rnacentral:lncRNA from 1 species
UGAGCACUAUCUUUUGAAUUUCUACCAUUUUUGGGUUCCCUAGUAUCUGAGUUAGGUAGCAAUCAACCCCUUUUGCUAUCAUUCCCAGGACACCUAUGACAACUGGUAUUGUUUUAGUCUUCAGGUUCCACAUUUUGCUGAUUUCUAUUUCAAGAUCUUUAUAUUUGACAGAUACGUUUUAUUAAAGUGUUUAUUAAAGUGUUAUUAUUAUUAUUAUUAUUAUUAUUAUUAUUAUUAUUAUUAUUAUUAUUAUUAUUAUUAUUAUUAUUAUUAUUAUCAUUAUUAUUAUUAUUAUUAUUGUUAUUUAUUCAAGGCACUGCCUGGAAUUGAAAUAUUGGGGUUAGUAGCCCGCGCUCUUAACCAUUACGCUUUUAUACCCGUGGGCAUGCUUAUUUUCCUGACUUUUAGUUGCAUUUGUUUCAAACGUUCUGUAAUGAGGGCUAACUAAAGCUUUCCUUCAUUAAGUCCCAAUUUACUGUGGGGGUUGAAAUAAACUGAAAAUAUGUUUUAUAAUGCGAUGGACGCCAGCGAAAUGCACAGGAGAGGAAAAAGUUAUUACAUUGGAUGGGGGGGGGGGGGGGGGCUUUAUCUGCUCGAUGGUCGUUGUUUAUAUUGUCAUUGUUGUUAAGGUUCUAUAGACCAUCACCUCAUUUUAUGCUAUCAGGGAUUAGGUUGAGCACACGCGUCAUUGCCGUUUGAUUUUCGACGGAGAUUUGGCUACUUGCCGGACCAGCGCCAGCGUCUUGCGGGACUAAUGACAGUGCUAUGGUUACCUUAUUGUAAAUAUGUAUGUAUGUAUGUAUGUAUGUAUGGUUAUAUGAUUUUUCUUUAAAGUUUUAUUUAAAUUCUUCUCAAAGAGAGUUCAAGUCGGUCGCUUUCAGAGCGACAAGACUUUUUGAGAUAAGAAAGAUCCUGGUGUAUCAAUGUGUGUGUAUAUGUAUGUAUGUAUGUAUGUAUGUAUGUAUGUAUGUAUGUAUGUAUGUAUGUAUUAUGUAUAUAUGUAUGUGUAAGAUUUUCACUGAAACUAUAUAUAUGUGUGUGUGUAGGCGUAUAUAUAUAUAUACACACACACAAUCACACCUAACACACAUAUAUACAUAUAUAUGUGUGCGUGUAUGUAUUUAUGUCUGUAUACUUUUCUAUAUGCGUAUAUAUAUGUAUGUACGUAGUUAUAUGUGUAUCCAUAUGUAUGUAUGUAUGUAUGUAUGUAUGUAUGUAUGUAUGUAUGUAUGUAUGUAUUUAUGUACGUAUUUAUGUGUGUAUGUAUUUGUAUGUAUGUGUGCAUGUAUACCUUGUGUAUAUAUGUAGUAUGUAUUGUGUAUAUACUCCAAAAAUUAAAAUAAAAAGUUCAUAGGCAUUUGUGUGUUUAUGACUUUUGUACGUCAGCAAUUUGUGUAUAUCAAUGUUUUUGUAUGUAUGUAUGUAUGUAUGUAUAUUUGUCUGAUGGUUGUUUGUGUGUCUGCUGUGUUUAAUGCGUAUUUGUUAGUGUAUAUGCAUAAGUAAAUCGAAGGUUGCAUUCCUGUCCGACUUGUAUAUUAAAAUGCUUCACCAUACAUCAUCAGUUUCCACGUUCGUUUCUUGCAAUGGGUACAUUUAGCCAGAUGUUGUCUGUCGUUAUUUCGAUUCUAUUGGAUAGAUGGAAGCACUCCGUCGGUUACGACGACGAGGGUUCCGGUUGAUCCGAUCAACGGAACAGCCUGCUCGUGAAAUUAACGUGUAAGUGGCUGAGCACUCCACAGACACGUGUACCCUUAACGUAGUUCUCGGGGAGAUUCAGCGUGACACAGAGAGUGACAAGGCCGGCCCUUUGAAAUACAGGUACAACAGAAACAGGAAGUAAGAGUGAGAGAAAGUUGUGGUGAAAGAGUACAGCAGGGAUCACCACCAUCCCCUGCCGGAUUCGAUUCUAUUAUACUCCUAUAAAAUGAACCAUAAAAAUGGACCUUCCCAAUCGGAAGGUAUAUCCAAGGUCCUCAGAAAUAUAGCAACUGUUUUUACAAACAGACAGAAUUGUGUUUUAAGUAGGGGCCUAUAUUCCGGGUGUGCUAGGUAUGCCAUGCGCACCCAUCGAAAAUGGCAAAUUCAUUAUGAAUAUCAACCUUACACAUUAAUUUAAUCACAGAUCUUAAUGGAAAACUUUUGUUGUAUCCCUGCUUGAAAUCAGAUGGUAUCGGGUGUGGCAGCACACGUAAUACAACAACCACCAUACACCACUGGUAUUACGGUCAUCUCUUCAGAUUUUUUAGAGAAAUGAUAGCUACCACUGAUUGUGUUAUUACGAUGUUUCGUAUACGAGAUGUCAGACGUAAACAAACAAUGACGUCGAAGAUUUGAAAAUGGUUAAUAGGUGUGUAUGCCAUAUUUCAGGCGUUUUUGCUGCUUCAUCAGCAGCCAACUAACCCUUUAAUCUUACACAAACCAACUGCUUAAAUAGCCCCUACAUACAGCGGUGUAAUGCAAUUUAAGUAAGAAUUGUAACAUAAUGCAACGCAAAGAUAAG